rnacentral:rRNA from 1 species
AGCGAACGCUGGCGGCAGGCUUAACACAUGCAAGUCGAGCGGGCACUUUCGGGUGUCAGCGGCGGACGGGUGAGUAACGCGUGGGAACGUGCCCUCUGGUUCGGAAUAACUCAGGGAAACUUGAGCUAAUACCGGAUACGCCCUUUGGGGAAAGGCUUGCUGCCGGAGGAUCGGCCCGCGUCUGAUUAGCUAGUUGGUGAGGUAACGGCUCACCAAGGCGACGAUCAGUAGCUGGUCUGAGAGGAUGAUCAGCCACACUGGGACUGAGACACGGCCCAGACUCCUACGGGAGGCAGCAGUGGGGAAUAUUGGACAAUGGGCGCAAGCCUGAUCCAGCCAUGCCGCGUGAGUGAUGAAGGCCUUAGGGUUGUAAAGCUCUUUUAUCCGGGACGAUAAUGACGGUACCGGAGGAAUAAGCCCCGGCUAACUUCGUG